rnacentral:rRNA from 1 species
AGUAGAACGCUGAAGGAGGAGCUUGCUUCUCUGGAUGAGUUGCGAACGGGUGAGUAACGCGUAGGUAACCUGCCUGGUAGCGGGGGAUAACUAUUGGAAACGAUAGCUAAUACCGCAUAAUAGUAGAUGUUGCAUGACAUUUGCUUAAAAGGUGCAAUUGCAUCACUACCAGAUGGACCUGCGUUGUAUUAGCUAGUUGGUGGGGUAACGGCUCACCAAGGCGACGUUACAUAGCCGACCUGAGAGGGUGAUCGGCCACACUGGGACUGAGACACGGCCCAGACUCCGACGGGAGGCAGCAGUAGGGAAUCUUCGGCAAUGGACGGAAGUCUGACCGAGCAACGCCGCGUGAGUGAAGAAGGUUUUCGGAUCGUAAAGCUCUGUUGUAAGAGAAGAACGAGUGUGAGAGUGGAAAGUUCACACUGUGACGGUAUCUUACCAGAAAGGGACGGCUAACUACGUGCCAGCAGCCGCGGUAAUACGUAGGUCCCGAGCGUUGUCCGGAUUUAUUGGGCGUAAAGCGAGCGCAGGCGGUUAGAUAAGUCUGAAGUUAAAGGCUGUGGCUUAACCAUAGUACGCUUUGGAAACUGUUUAACUUGAGUGCAAGAGGGGAGAGUGGAAUUCCAUGUGUAGCGGUGAAAUGCGUAGAUAUAUGGAGGAACACCGGUGGCGAAAGCGGCUCUCUGGCUUGUAACUGACGCUGAGGCUCGAAAGCGUGGGGAGCAAACAGGAUUAGAUACCCUGGUAGUCCACGCCGUAAACGAUGAGUGCUAGGUGUUAGACCCUUUCCGGGGUUUAGUGCCGCAGCUAACGCAUUAAGCACUCCGCCUGGGGAGUACGACCGCAAGGUUGAAACUCAAAGGAAUUGACGGGGGCCCGCACAA